AUUGAACGCUGGCGGCAGGCCUAACACAUGCAAGUCGAGCGAGCGGCGGACGGGUGAGGAAUGUCGGGGAAACUGCCGGAUGGAGGGGGAUAACUACUGGAAACGGUAGCUAAUACCGCAUACCAUCAGAUGUGCCCAGAUGGGAUUAGCUAGUAGGUGGGGUAACGGCUCACCUAGGCGACGAUCCCUAGCUGGUCUGAGAGGAUGACCAGCCACACUGUAACUGAGACACGGUCCAGACUCCUACGGGAGGCAGCAGUGGGGAAUAUUGGACAAUGGGCGCAAGCCUGAUGCAGCCAUGCCGCGUGUGUGAAGAAGGCCUUCGGGUUGUAAAGCACUUUUAGCGGGGAGGCGUUACCCACAGAAGAAGCCACGGCUAACUCCGUGCCAGCAGCCGCGGUAAUAC
rnacentral:rRNA from 1 species